GGCCCCAUCUUUUGCUUUCUCUCUCUCUCUCUCUCCUCUCUCUCUCUCUCUCUCUCUCUCGCUUGGGCUCGCACCGGACUUGCGCCGUGGGAGCGUUGAAAGGGGGCUCCUCUUCCUCUCUCUCCUCCCAGCGCGGCGCGGAGUCUCGUCGAUUGCCCGGCUAAUAUGCUCGACAACGUGCAGGAGAGCGUCAAGCGCUUCGUACCCCCUGCCUCCAGGAAUCGUUCAAUCAAUCGGCGCAGAUCUGGAGUGAACUAUUCGCAUGGGACUGAUGGCGAAAAGAGUCAAGCAUCUUAUCCAAGAAACUUUCCUGCUGUGGAACAUGGGGAGGUAGGCAGUAACAAUGUUGCAAAGGAGAACACUCAUCAGAAGUUGAUACCUUUAGAGGGGUGUUCUACUAGUGAGGUUGUGAAAUUUCUAACAGAUCGGUGGGCAGCUGCUGUUCAUCAGUUGGACGACUCAUCAGCUGAUGUAUCUGUAAAACCAGUCAUGUACUCUGGAGCCAGUGGUUCGUCUUGGGUUCACUUCAAACUUCCCCAUCAGAUGGACUUUUUGGGAGAAUUACAAAGCAAAAUUCACAAAGCCAACAGUAAUCUGGGAUCAAACACCACUGAUGAUAACUGAUUUGUCGACAAUCUUGUGAUAAUUUAAUUACAGAUUUUAGAGAAACUCCUUUUGAGCAUUUACUGAAUGGACAUAAUAAUUUGCAGCAUUUACGAAAGGUCAUCCGGACGUUUCUUUAGCUCUUUCUCUGGAUGCUCAAGAAGUGAUGAUAACUAGUAUUCCUAUUCGAGUAUGGAGAAGAUAACCAGUAGUAUUCGAAGAGGUCAAGAUUCACAUCAGCAGCUUGCACGGUGGUGUAUCCUGAGUCCUCAUCGCGAUGGCGUUGUGUUUUCAUCCUCUGGUGAUGAUUCAUUACAUAAGUGGGUUUUGCUAAAUGGUGUGUUUGCCUUUACUCAUGGUUUUUUCGUGAACUACAAUCUCAUUCAGAAACACAAAAGAGAAAGAAAUGAACAUUGUGUUUGUUCUA